UACGUAGGGUGCAAGCGUUUGUCCGGAAUUAUUGGGCGUAAAGAGCUCGUAGGCGGUUUGUCGCGUCUGCUGUGAAAACUGGAGGCUCAACCUCCAGCCUGCAGUGGGUACGGGCAGACUAGAGUGCGGUAGGGGAGAUUGGAAUUCCUGGUGUAGCGGUGGAAUGCGCAGAUAUCAGGAGGAACACCGAUGGCGAAGGCAGAUCUCUGGGCCGUAACUGACGCUGAGGCACGAAAGCGUGGGGAGCAAACAGG
rnacentral:rRNA from 1 species